CUCCCCUUAGGUUGGGAUGCCACCUAAGGAAACUCCUUGAGGUUGAGAGUCCCUGCCUUACUGGUUCGCUCAGGAGCAGUGCAAGCUUUGGGAGAGGAGAGAGAAAAUUGGAAUUCCUCCUUAAACAUUCAAGGCACCACAAUUGUUCUCAGUCUUGUAGUUUGGAA